UGACUAGAUUUCCUGUGCAAUUUGUUUGGCAUGUGUUGUUUACCGAAUAUGUGUUUAAUAACAUCAUUAUUUCUCCUCCAUUUCCAGGAAAAAAUGUGAAAGGUGCAUGAAGCCAGUACCGUCAACUAUUGUGUUAAAAAUCCUGGUAUCCUACAGAAUAUGUCAUCCAAAUGACAGAGUGGAUUCAUCACUAUUAUCGGCUGAAUCAUUCUAUGGGACUUGCCAGAUCACCAACCCAAGCAUGGACCAAUUUCUCAUUCCAUCUUCUAGAGAACCUUACAUAACCGAUUGGACCUUAGUGUGUUUUAGGUUUCUAAUGUAGCAUGAUUGACUAUGAGAAGUCAUGUUGUUUGAAGGAAAAGGACUAUACAGUUGACAAGGUUCUUUGCUAACCCGUUGGCUGCUACCCUUGAAUCUCCCUGUUUACUUCCUUACACAGGUCCUCUUGAUUUGAGGUACUACUU